ACGAACGCUGGCGGCGUGCUUAACCCAUACAAGUCGAACGGAAAGGCCCUGCUUUUGUGGGGUGCUCGAGUGGCGAACGGGUGAGUAACACGUGAGUAACCUGCCCUUGACUUUGGGAUAACUUCAGGAAACUGGGGCUAAUACCGGAUAGGAGCUCCUGCUGCAUGGUGGGGGUUGGAAAGUUUCGGCGGUUGGGGAUGGACUCGCGGCUUAUCAGCUUGUUGGUGGGGUAGUGGCUUACCAAGGCUUUGACGGGUAGCCGGCCUGAGAGGGUGACCGGCCACAUUGGGACUGAGAUACGGCCCAGACUCCUACGGGAGGCAGCAGUGGGGAAUAUUGCACAAUGGGCGGAAGCCUGAUGCAGCAACGCCGCGUGCGGGAUGACGGCCUUCGGGUUGUAAACCGCUUUCGCCUGUGACGAAGCGUGAGUGACGGUAAUGGGUAAAGAAGCACCGGCUAACUACGUG
rnacentral:rRNA from 1 species